GACGAACGCUGGCGGCGUGCCUAAUACAUGCAAGUUGAGCGCUGAAGGUUGGUACUUGUACCCACUGGAUGAGCAGCGAACGGGUGAGUAACGCGUGGGGAAUCUGCCUUUGAGCGGGGGACAACAUUUGGAAACGAAUGCUAAUACCGCAUAAAAACUUUAAACACAAGUUUUAAGUUUGAAAGAUGCAAUUGCAUCACUCAAAGAUGAUCCCGCGUUGUAUUAGCUAGUUGGUGAGGUAAAGGCUCACCAAGGCGAUGAUACAUAGCCGACCUGAGAGGGUGAUCGGCAACAUUGGGACUGGGACACGGCCCAAACUCCUACGGGAGGCAGCAGUAGGGAAUCUUCGGCAAAGGACGAAAGGCUGACCGAGCAACGCCGCGUGAGUGAAGAAGGUUUUCGGAUCGUAAAACUCUGUUGGUAGAGAAGAACGUUGGUGAGAGUGGAAAGCUCAUCAAGUGACGGUAACUACCCAGAAAGGGACGGCUAACUACGUG
rnacentral:rRNA from 1 species